rfam:Canis lupus familiaris chromosome 14, whole genome shotgun sequence.
AAGACUAUACUUUCAAGGAUCAUUUCUACAAUUUGUUACUAGAGAAGUUUCUCUCAAUGUGUAGAGCACCGGAAACUACCGGGAGGAGGCGCAGCAUCUCUCCAGACUGUGAAGCUGGUUUUUAGUGUUUGCUUCUGCAACACCAUUCACCAUUGAUAUUGGUUAUUUCUUCUCUUCCUUCGGGGGAGCAAGAGAGGGAGGAUGCAGAUGAGGA